rnacentral:rRNA from 1 species
CAGCAGUGAGGAAGGCGGAGUCGUUAAUAGCGGCCUCGUUUGACGUUUAGCUGCAGAAGAAGCACCGGCUAACUCCGUGCCAGCAGCCGCGGUAAUACGGGAGGGUGCGAGCGUUAAUCGGAAUUACUGGGCGUAAAGCGCAUGCAGGUGGUUUGUUAAGUCAGAUGUGAAAGCCCGGGGCUCAACCUCGGAAUUGCAUUUGAAACUGGCAGACUAGAGUACUGUAGAGGGGGGUAGGAAUUUCAGGUGUAGCGGUGAAAUGCGUAGAGAUCUGAAGGAAUACCGGUGGCGAAGGCGGCCCCCUGGACAGAUACUGACACUCAGAUGCGAAAGCGUGGGGAGCAAACAGGAUUAGAUACCCUGGUAG